rnacentral:rRNA from 1 species
CACUUUCACAACGGAUCUCUUGGCUCUCGCAUCGAUGAAGAACGCAGCGAAAUGCGAUAAGUAAUGUGAAUUGCAGAAUUCAGUGAAUCAUCGAAUCUUUGAACGCACCUUGCGCUCUUUGGUAUUCCGAAGAGCAUGCCUGUUUGAGUGUCA